CUGCUCAAUGCAUUUAAAGUAAAUAGCCGCAGUAUUUUGACUGUGCUAAGGUAGCAUAAUCAUUAGUCUCUUAAUUAGAGGCUGGUAUGAAUGGUAGAACGAGAAAGAAACUGUCUCAUAGUAAAUAGUCGAAUUUCAUUUCUUGGUGAAAAAGCUAAGAUAAUUUUGAAGGACGAUCAGACCCUUUGGAGCUUUAUAAAUUUUUAAAUAUAAAUUUAUUUUUAAAGAUAAUAUUUAAAAAUUUAUUUUGUUGGGGCGACAGAGAGUUUAUAAAUAACACUCUUUUUAUUAACCAAAAAUAAUUGAAUUUUUGAUCCUUAANGAAAGAUUAGAAGAUUAAGUUACCCUAGGGAUAACAGCGUAAUCUUUUUAGAGAGUUCAUAUCGAUAAAAAGGUUUGCGACCUCGAUGUUGGAUUAAGAGAUUAGCAAGGUGCAGAAGUUUUGCUGGAAAGUCUGUUCGACUUU
rnacentral:rRNA from 1 species